rnacentral:misc_RNA from 1 species
GAUGAAGAACGCAGUGAAAUGCGAAAAGUAAUGUGAAUUGCAGAAUUCAGUGAACCAUCGAAUCUUUGAACGCACAUUGCGCCCGCUGGAACUCCGGCGGGCACGCCUGUCCGAGCGUCAUUUCAACCCUCAGGCCCCCCUUCGCGGGCGGGCCUGGUGUUGGGGCCCGGCCGCUACCCUGCGGCCGUCCCCUAAAUUCAGUGGCGGCCUCGCCGUGAUCCCUUGCGUAGUAAUGCAUCUCGCACCGGAGAGCGCCGUGGCCACGCCGUAAAACCCCCAAUUUUCAAUGGUUGACCUCGGAUCAGGUGGGAAUACCCGCUGAACUUAAGCAUAUCAAUAAGCGGAGGA